GUGUUUUUUUUCCCUUGAAAAUGUCCGCUUUUUCCCUUAUAAAUGUCGUUUUUUCCCUUAUAAAUGUGUUUUUUUUUCCAUUGAAAAUGUCCGCUUUUUCCCUUAUAAAUGUCGUUUUUUCCCUUAUAAAUGUGUUUUUUUUCCAUUGAAAAUGUCCGCUUUUUCCCUUAUAAAUGUCGUUUUUUCCCUUAUAAAUGUGUUUUUUUUCCCGUGUAACUGUGCGCUUUUUCCCGUGUAAAUGUCUGCUCUUUUCCGUUUGUGCGCAACUACUUCUUUCCCGUGUGAGAACUCUUUCUCCAGUAUUUUGCAAGCUAAAAGCUAAAGCUAAUGCGCAAAGGACUAUGGGAGUGGGGUCAAAACGCAACUGAACACGGAACCUUUCCGGAUAUCAGCUCCAGGACUCAACAUCAUGGAGUAUACAGUGAAUUAUAGCGUGAUAAAGUUAUAAUUUUCACUAAAUUUUCAACUGCACACAAUUACCAGUGAACUGUGUGUAAAUCAUCAACUGCCUGUGUAUCAGCUGAUUUCUACACCAGCUUUACAUCCUGAGCAGAAGAUUGUCGUGGAGAGGACGGACCCUUGAUGCUCUGCCUUUUUGCACCAACAAUACAUACAUGUAUUUUAUUAAUUUGUAAAUAAAGUCUUUAAUAUAA